UGGGGAAUUUUGGACAAUGGGCGAAAGCCUGAUCCAGCAAUGCCGCGUGUGUGAAGAAGGCCUUCGGGUUGUAAAGCACUUUUGUCCGGAAAGAAAUCCUUGGCUCUAAUACAGUCGGGGGAUGACGGUACCGGAAGAAUAAGCACCGGCUAACUACGUGCCAGCAGCCGCGGUAAUACGUAGGGUGCAAGCGUUAAUCGGAAUUACUGGGCGUAAAGCGUGCGCAGGCGGUUUGCUAAGACCGAUGUGAAAUCCCCGGGCUCAACCUGGGAACUGCAUUGGUGACUGGCAGGCUAGAGUAUGGCAGAGGGGGGUAGAAUUCCACGUGUAGCAGUGAAAUGCGUAGAGAUGUGGAGGAAUACCGAUGGCGAAGGCAGCCCCCUGGGCCAAUACUGACGCUCAUGCACGAAAACGUGGGGAGCAAAACAGGAUUAGAUACCCUGGUAGUCCACGCCCUAAACGAUGUCAACUAGUUGUUGGGGAUUCAUUUCCUUAGUAACGUAGCUAACGCGUGAAGUUGACCGCCUGGGGAGUACGGUCGCAAGAUUAAAACUCAAAGGAAUUGACGGGGU
rnacentral:rRNA from 1 species